rnacentral:tRNA from 1 species
CGGGAUGUAGCUCAGUAGGCCAGAGCACCCGGUUUGGGACCGGGAAGUCGCAGGUUCGAAUCCUGUCAUCCCGACAA